UUGAACGCUGGCGGCAGGCCUAACACAUGCAAGUCGAACGGUAACAGGAAACAGCUUGCUGUUUCGCUGACGAGUGGCGGACGGGUGAGUAAUGUCUGGGAAACUGCCUGAUGGAGGGGGAUAACUACUGGAAACGGUAGCUAAUACCGCAUAACGUCGCAAGACCAAAGAGGGGGACCUUCGGGCCUCUUGCCAUCGGAUGUGCCCAGAUGGGAUUAGCUAGUAGGUGGGGUAACGGCUCACCUAGGCGACGAUCCCUAGCUGGUCUGAGAGGAUGACCAGCCACACUGGAACUGAGACACGGUCCAGACUCCUACGGGAGGCAGCAGUGGGGAAUAUUGCACAAUGGGCGCAAGCCUGAUGCAGCCAUGCCGCGUGUAUGAAGAAGGCCUUCGGGUUGUAAAGUACUUUCAGCGGGGAGGAAGGGAGUAAAGUUAAUACCUUUGCUCAUUGACGUUACCCGCAGAAGAAGCACCGGCUAACUCCGUGCCAGCAGCCGCGGUAAUACGGAGGGUGCAAGCGUUAAUCGGAAUUACUGGGCGUAAAGCGCACGCAGGCGGUUUGUUAAGUCAGAUGUGAAAUCCCCGGGCUCAACCUGGGAACUGCAUCUGAUACUGGCAAGCUUGAGUCUCGUAGAGGGGGGUAGAAUUCCAGGUGUAGCGGUGAAAUGCGUAGAGAUCUGGAGGAAUACCGGUGGCGAAGGCGGCCCCCUGGACGAAGACUGACGCUCAGGUGCGAAAGCGUGGGGAGCAAACAGGAUUAGAUACCCUGGUAGUACACGCCGUAAACGAUGUCGACUUGGAGGUUGUGCCCUUGAGGCGUGGCUUCCGGAGCUAACGCGUUAAGUCGACCGCCUGGGGAGUACGGCCGCAAGGUUAAAACUCAAAUGAAUUGACGGGGGCCCGCGCAAGCGGUGGAGCAUGUGGUUUAAUUCGAUGCAACGCGAAGAACCUUACCUGGUCUUGACAUCCACGGAAGUUUUCAGAGAUGAGAAUGUGCCUUCGGGAACCGUGAGACAGGUGCUGCAUGGCUGUCGUCAGCUCGUGUUGUGAAAUGUUGGGUUAAGUCCCGCAACGAGCGCAACCCUUAUCCUUUGUUGCCAGCGGUCCGGCCGGGAACUCAAAGGAGACUGCCAGUGAUAAACUGGAGGAAGGUGGGGAUGACGUCAAGUCAUCAUGGCCCUUACGACCAGGGCUACACACGUGCUACAAUGGCGCAUACAAAGAGAAGCGACCUCGCGAGAGCAAGCGGACCUCAUAAAGUGCGUCGUAGUCCGGAUUGGAGUCUGCAACUCGACUCCAUGAAGUCGGAAUCGCUAGUAAUCGUGGAUCAGAAUGCCACGGUGAAUACGUUCCCGGGCCUUGUACACACCGCCCGUCACACCAUGGGAGUGGGUUGCAAAAGAAGUAGGUAGCUUAACCUUCGGGAGGGCGCUUACCACUUUGUGAUUCAUGACUGGGGUG
rnacentral:rRNA from 1 species